ACCGACCUCGUCCAAGGGGAUAUGGAUGUCCUAUGAUCGUAUAGUGAGGGCAUUCGUGCUGACACCCUUCGCAAAUUUGCAACCCCCGCAUGAUUUGUCAUAUCAUGACGGAAUUUUUGGAGCC
rnacentral:ncRNA from 1 species